rnacentral:rRNA from 1 species
AACGAACGCUGGCGGCGCGUUUUAAGCAUGCAAGUCGAACGGUAGAAAGUCUUCGGACUUUUGAGAGUGGCGAACGGGUGAGUAACACGUAGGUAAUCUACCUCUGCGUUGGGGAUAGCCCAUGGAAACAUGGAGUAAUACCGAAUACGGUUUUUGGUCUUGCGGGACUGAAGAAGAAAGGUGCUACGGCACCGCGCGGAGAUGAGCCUGCGGCUCAUUAGCUAGUUGGUAAGGUAAGAGCUUACCAAGGCGACGAUGAGUAGCCGGCCUGAGAGGGUGACCGGCCACACUGGGACUGAGACACGGCCCAG